CAUUGAAAACCACUGUUGAGAUGGAGCCAUCUGGAGUCUGCAGGCCUGGCCAGGUCCCAUUUGCUAAAUGAGGGCAUUGUUUGCAGAGAAAGAGCAUCCUCCUCAAAGGCAUAUUAAUGACAAGCCAGACACUGGACAACCAAGAAUGGACCCAGCUAACAUCAUGGAUAAAGGGAAACCUGACAUGCGACAGCAGAACCAGAGAGUGGCUUUGCUGUUGUUGGCGGAUCAUUUCUGGAAAAAGGUGCAGCUCCAGUGGCCCCAAAUCCUGGGAAAGGAGAAUCCGUUCAACCCCCAGAUUAAACAGGUGUUUGGAGACCAAGGCGGGCACUGAGCCUCUCAGGAGCAUGCACCCCUGGGGAGCACAGGGAGGCAGAGGCUUGGGUAAACUCAUUCCACAAACCCUAUGGGGGCUGCCACGUCACAGGCCCAAAGGACUCUUCUUCAGCAGCAUCUUUGCAAAAUGUCUUUCUCUCAAUGAAGAGCAUAUCUGGACGACUGUGCAAUGCUGUGUGCUCCCGGGAUCAGUAACCCUUCCGCUGUUCCUGAAAUAACCUUUCAUAAAGUGCUUUGGGUGCCAUUCC
rnacentral:lncRNA from 1 species